UUAAUAAAAAGCAAGCCGCACUGAAGAGCAUAUGGGACCGGCAGACGCUGCAUUAAUCCCUCCGAUCUUUUGUUAACAUCACAACAAUAGGCUGCACUUAGCCUACAGCACUCCUGGUCCUGCCAGCCAUGCACCGCAUCACCAUAACCACCGUCGGGAAGGCCCACACCAAGUGCUCACUGGAGACGCCCGGAUGCAACCUGCGCAAGACGCGCUACGAGGCCAUCGACUGACGCUUCAACAAAGAAACAGUGCAGGAUCAGGGGAAGCUGCUCCAGCUGUCACAAUACCAUCAGCUGUAACCCACGCAGGCCCAGGUCCACCAUGCUGCUGAGCUAAGGGAGAAUUAGACAGAAUGAGGAGAGCCCAGUCUGCGUGCCCUGCUCCACUCCGCUCUGCUCCCAAUCAUCUUACUGCUCUGCCCUCCUAUUACCCUCCUUGGCCCAUCCAACACUACUGCUGGAUUCAGACCCCAUGUCCUACUGGGCCUGCCCACACCACAGCAGACCAUAACCAGCCACCAGCAUAAUGCUUGCAGAGGCUCAGCCAGGUGUAGUUAUGGUAGGCUAAACCAGGCACAGAUAUUAAUAUAACUAACUGAUGGAAGUCUUUUUGAUAAAGGCACAUAAACACAUUAGUAUAUGCAUUUUAUUACACAGAAACAACACAAUAAAAAUGUAAUAAAUCAAAUACAAAUGUAAUAAACAUCCAAAAAGCUGAGUCCCAUUCCACUUUACAACAUUGAAUAAAUGAUAUGUGUUCCUCAUCAGUUCAUCAAACUCCUGCCCUUUUUGGCUUUUGUUUUCUCAAUUAGUUCUCCGUUCCAGCCGACUCUAUUCCCACUGCAUAAAUACGCCAGUGUUUUGGCUUGGAAGUGGAGCCAACAAACACAUUGCCAUGUCAUGUAUAGUAUCUGUCUCAUGUUCUCUGGGUCUAUGAGCCAGUAUGACAGGCCACUGAGCCCAGACAAGACAACAGGGCAUCACUUACUGAACGCCAAGCAUUUAAUAUGGCUUAGGGGUAUUGGUCUGAUUCAAGUGAAAUCUUACAAGAAUAGUGAAAUCUUACUUAUAAGGCCUAUUUGACAGUUUUACAAUGUCUUCCAUCUACCUCUUCUAAUCCCCCCAUUCCCCUCCACCUGUUUGUCUCUGGUUUGCCUCCCUCUCUCGUGAGACCUUAUGGGGUGGUAGCUGGGGCUGGGUGAGGCGAGGGAGUCGUUGGGUAUAGGGACAGAUGCAGCCUCUUCCCUCCCCUCUCGCUAUCUCCCCUCUCUCCCCCCUCCCCUCCCCUACCCUCCCCUACCCACCUGUUUGGGCCAAACAUUAGGGCUGAGCGGCCGCACAUGUGCCAUACCAGCGGCUUGGCCACCAGUUAUUAUCCCACCCCAGACAAAAGGGUAUUUAGGCAGGCCGGGGGCAGCCUGCCUGCCCAGGGGGAACACAAUGCCAUGAGGCUGGCGGGCCUGUGGCCGCAGGCUCCUGAAUCACGUGCCCGCUUGUGUGUGUGAGCGUCAGGGGGCAUCUGUUAUGUGUGUGU